CGGGGUGAGUAAUGUCUGGGAAACUGCCUGAUGGAGGGGGGAAACUGCGGAAAACGGUAGCUAAUACGCAUAACGUCGCAAGACCAAAGAGGGGGACCUUCGGGCCUCUUGCCAUCGGAUGUGCCCAGAUGGGAUUAGCUAGUAGGUGGGGUAACGGCUCACCUAGGCGACGAUCCCUAGCUGGUCUGAGAGGAUGACCAGCCACACUGGAACUGAGACACGGUCCAG
rnacentral:rRNA from 1 species